GCGAAGCUGAGAAUUUAAGCCCCAGUAAACGGCGGUGGUAACUAUAACCAUCCUAAGGUAGCGAAAUUCCUUGUCGGGUAAGUUCCGACCUGCACGAAUGGCGUAACGACUUCUCUGCUGUCUCAACCACAGGCCCGGUGAAAUUGCACUACGAGUAAAGAUGCUCGUUACGCGCGGCAGGACGAAAAGACCCCGGGACCUUCACUAUAGCUUGGUAUUGGUGUUCGGUUCGGUUUGUGUAGGAUAGGUGGGAGACUAUGAGACGUGUGCGCCAGCACGCGUGGAGUCGUUGUUGAAAUACCACUCUGAUCGGAUUGGAUACCUUAACCUUGGCCCAUGAUCUGGGUUGGGGACAGUGCCUGGUGGGUAGUUUAACUGGGGCGGUUGCCUCCCAAAAUGUAACGGAGGCGCCCAAAGGUUCCCUCAGCCUGGUUGGCAAUCAGGUAGCGAGUGUAAGUGCACAAGGGAGCUUGACUGUGAGACAGACAUGUCGAACAGGGACGAAAGUCGGGACUAGUGAUCCGGCACCUACUUGUGGAUGUGGUGUCGCUCAACGGAUAAAAGGUACCCCGGGGAUAACAGGCUGAUCUUCCCCAAGAGUCCAUAUCGACGGGAUGGUUUGGCACCUCGAUGUCGGCUCGUCGCAUCCUGGGGCUGGAG
rnacentral:rRNA from 1 species